UAAAUUCUGUGAAUCGUCACAGGUCCUCGGGUUCAACUACAAGGUGGUCAGGGGGAAAAGAUAAGACGGCAACAAAUCCCCCUACCCCAACCCCUAAAAACCCAAAUCAUGCGAGUUUCAAGCUCACAAAGGUGAUAGAAUCAAAGUGCACUAUCGGUUGCUGCUGUUCCUGAUGGCUUGAAGGCAUGGGAGAUGCUGAAAGGAAGACCACAUAAUGUAGAUCUCAUUUUGACAGAAGUGGAUUUGCCAUCUAUAUCAGGAUUUGCUCUUCUUACACUAAUUAUGGAGCAUGAUAUUUGUAAAAGCAUCCUGUUAUAAGUAUGAUAUGAAAGAUUCUUUAAUAUUUUCUAAACAUUUGUACAUUUAUUAA